rnacentral:rRNA from 1 species
GACGAACGCUGGCGGCGUGCCUAAUACAUGCAAGUCGAGCGGACCUUUUAAAAGCUUGCUUUUGAAAGGUCAGCGGCGGACGGGUGAGUAACACGUGGGCAACCUGCCUGUAAGACUGGGAUAACUUCGGGAAACCGGAGCUAAUACCGGAUAAUAUAAGGAACCUCCUGGUUCUUUAUUGAAAGAUGGUUUCGGCUAUCACUUACAGAUGGGCCCGCGGCGCAUUAGCUAGUUGGUGAGGUAAUGGCUCACCAAGGCGACGAUGCGUAGCCGACCUGAGAGGGUGAUCGGCCACACUGGGACUGAGACACGGCCCAGACUCCUACGGGAGGCAGCAGUAGGGAAUCUUCCACAAUGGACGAAAGUCUGAUGGAGCAACGCCGCGUGAGCGAUGAAGGCCUUCGGGUCGUAAAGCUCUGUUGUUAGGGAAGAACAA